AAACUUAAGACAUACCAAAGCAUUAUCCACAAUCACAUACAUGGCCUACUUCUUUUGAACAUUUUGUAAUACUCAGCGUCCACGAAUUGUGCAUCUUUCCUACUCCGUUUGGAGUAAUUUUGAACUUUUAUUGUUUUGAAUUGCACAAUACUUUUCUUUUCUUUUCUUUUCUUUUCUUCAGUAUUCUCUAAUUUUUUAUUUCUUUCUUUUUCUCCUUUUCUUGUAGUUUUUUUUCUUUUUGCAAUUUGCACAAACACCUCGAUACACGCCAAUUUUUUGGUGCAGAGCUUAACCUUCUUAUUUUCAUCACUUUGGCACAUCCUAAGAUAUAAGGUAUGGCUUAGAAACGGAAAACGGGUUAUAUAGGUUAAAGAUAAUAAGGGUGAUGAAAAAAAGGCUAAGUGUUUGGUUACAAAGGGGUUAACAACGCACACAAAAGGGUAGGAUGAAAGGCCUUU
rnacentral:lncRNA from 1 species